rnacentral:lncRNA from 1 species
UACCCUGCCAGAAAAAAAAUGCUUCCUGUCCCUGGCAUUUCCUUAAUCAUAUGCAGACAUGGCUGGAUGUUCUUUGCUAGGCUGCUGAGUCAGAAGCCUGGACGGGCCAGCUUCAGUCUUAAUGAACUGGCUCAGGAAGGAAGUGCUAACAGAGAUGGGUGCACUGUGCAGUCAGUAGUGGGAGCUGAUGCCGGCUAGAAGAACUGAGCCUUGUGAGAGGCAGUCUGAUUCCUUGGAAAGAGCAUUGGCUGGAAGUCUGGAGGCCUGGGCUAGUCUCUGCUCUGCCACUAACUUGCUGCAUGACCCUGCAUCCAGCUCAGCCCUGGCCCACCAUAGGCACUCAGUGAAUGUUGAUUUGAGCAAAAGACACGAUUGAAAGAAAUGUCUCCUGAAAUUGCUUCUUACAAAUCUAGCCAACAAGUGCAGCAUCCUAGAUGGAGGCACCAGAGAUGACAUCAUCUCUGGCUUUCUGCUGCAGACCCACAUGGAGAAUCCCACAUGGUGCAACCAAAAUCCUCAAGGCCAGAUAGGUCUUUUCAUUGGAAGCCCUAAAAUGCAAUGCCUGGCUUUGAAGAGGGUGUAUGACACAAAUGAUUUACUAUGCAUUGAUCUGACUAAUGGAAAAUAAACAAUAA